CGUGCUCGAAAGAGAACCUGCACACAGGUGCUGCAUGGCUGUCGUCAGCUCGUGUCGUGAGAUGUUGGGUUAAGUACCCGCUAACGAGCGCAACCCCUAUCUUUAGUUGCCCGUAUUCAGUUAGGCACUCUAAAGAGACUGCCUCGGUUAACGAGGAGGAAGUGGGGAUGACGUCAAGUCCUCAUGGCCUUAUGUCCAGGGCUACACACGUGCUACAAUGGGCGGUACAAAGGGUUGCUAUCCCGCGAGGGUGAGCUAAUCCCAAAAAGCCGUUCUCAGUUCGGAUCGGAGUCUGCAACUCGACUCCGUGAAGUUGGAAUCGCUAGUAAUCGUGGAUCAGCAUGCCACGGUGAAUACGUUCCCGGGCCUU
rnacentral:rRNA from 1 species